rnacentral:ncRNA from 1 species
AUUACCGUCGGCCACGAUCUAAGCCAGACGGCAUGCCACGGCCAGAUCCGAAAAUGCAACACGAGCACGCGGCCGGUAGAUGAACCCAUCCAGCCACAUCGACAGCCGCGCA